UCGAUCAGAGCAGGAGAAGAAAAAGGGGAAAACCCCUAAUUAUCACAAAUUCAGCAAAUUAAAGCCCUAGAUGUGAUUUUGAGUCCAUGCAUGUCUCAAUUUUCUGAUCAUCUAUGCAUUCUUGAACACAAGGUGUAGCAAGGCUUGGAAGACAACAUGGAAAACAAGUGGAAAUGGUGACGACUUUCUUACGGGCUAAGGUAUGCUAUGGUAGUCCAUCGUGAAGUUUUGAGGAACUGGAAUGCAAGAUUGUACUCGGAAGGAUAAUCAAAAAGUCUGGCACACGUAGAAAGAUUGCGGCGUGAUCAAUUAAUUAUGUAUGAUAGAUUAUGAAUGUAGAUUAUCAAAUUUUAAUGAUGUGCAUGUUGUGGUGA